AGUUUCAGUCUCGAGGUCCCCGGGCUGCUUCUUAUUUAUGAUCAGAUCAAGGGUAUAAGGUGUCAGUGGGGGCAGCCAGCAGUCAUAGGCCAGAGAGGGGCGACUGCCCGUCCCAAGGGCUUGUCACAGGGUAAGUAACCGACAGACUGGGAAAGGAAGGAGGCAAUCUUCAGCCACUCGGUCACUCAUUCUAAAUUCACUCUCAUUUUUUGGGCAUCUAUUGUGCAAGCCCUGUGGACUUAAAAAGAGAAAUAAGACGCCGUCCCUGCCCUCGGGAGCUCCCGGCGCAUCUGCCCCAACAACUCGCUGAAGCCGCCUGCAGGACGCCUGAGUGAGGACAAGGUGUCUCACUCAGAAAAUUUGCUUGAUUCUUCCUGGCAAGUGGGACAGGGUGAGCUUCCCGGAGGAGGGGACCUUCGAGCUGUGUAGCGGGGAAGGUAGGAGAGCGAUGAGAGCGCCCGGAAGGGACAAGCAUUCGGGGAGACUGAAGCGCAUUCAACAACAUAUUUAUUGAGCACCUACUACGUCCAGGCACUGUUACAUCGGUGAUGUAACAAAAGCCGACAAAAACCCUCACCCCGAGCGCAGGCACCGCAGAGGGCGAUGACGACCCGAGAAGAUGCCGAACGCAGGCCAGGAGGGGGCUCUGGGGAAAAGCAAAGGCAGGGGAGGUUGCCCAUCGGGGAGCCUCGCGUCCCUGGGCCCUCCGUACUCUGCACAUAUGCAGAGGCCCCCACCCGUCCUGUAACCGCAAACUGCUUGGCGUGACUUGGCCAGCGGAGGGAGGAGCCCAGGCUGCAGGACAAGCAGGAGUCAGGGGUAGGUGCGGUGGAGUGAUGGGGUCGCGGCAGAUUGGGCGUGGAAACCGCGCUGGGCAGCCAGCCUGAGGGGUGCGUAUCCACCGCGGCAGGGACGCGGGUGAGAAAGGAGCCCCGGGAGGACGGGGCGGGGCUCCUAGGGUUCUGGCUGAAGGGACCGGGUGGAUGCGGACCGACUGAAAACGCUCGCAAACACAUAUGGCUGCUGGGGAGUGGGGCCCCAGUCACCCGGUGCUCAAAGGCCCUGUGUCCAUUAGAGGAAGUCCUGGCCUCGGGGCCUCUCCUCGUGGCCGUGAUCCCACGGUUCUGGGGCCCUGCAGGAGCCCAAAGCUGAGGGGCCCGGAAGGCUGGAAACAGCCAUUCUUCUCUCAUUGGGGUGUCUUUCAACAAAUUUUCUUGAGCACGUUCUCUGUUCUAGAGGAUACAGUAAUGGAUAAAACACACGUUCCCGCCUGCAUGGCGUCUACAGCCUAGUAGGCGAGGUGAGGUGGACUUGUAUCCUGCAAACAGCGAUUGCAGGCCUUGUGAAAUGUCAGAGUCCCUGCUGUAGGGAGAGGGGAUGGAAGGUGGGCGUCAGGGUUGUUUCCCAAAGGACAGUGACAUGAGCUGAAGGAUGAUCGGGAGUCAAAGAGGGGGGUGCUGGGGGAGGCCUCUGUGCAGAAGGAACAGGACCCUGUGAGAUCAGGGACUAAGGCCAGUGGAAGGGGAAGCAAGCAAGUUCCAGAACAGGACAGGGAGCCGGAGAACUGCAGGAGCCAGGCGAUCAGCUUGGAGACUGCGGCAGGGGAGGGAACUUCUUUGGGUGAAAACCUCCUUUUAAAAGGUCUUGGUCUCUGACUCAGUCCCUGCAGUUGCUGGGGAAAGUGGACUCUUCUGGUAGCUGCUUUUACAGCCCCUGCCCUCAGAGGCCCCCCAGGUGGGAAGGGCCUGCCUCCUAGGCAGUGGGUGGUCACCGAGGACUGACUUUGAACCCGGGGCAAGGGAGCCCCAGAAGGCUGGAGGCCUGCACACGGCACUGGAAGAAACAAACUGCAAAGGCUGUCCCUCAGGGCUAUCUCCACAGCCACCGGAAUGCGGCCUGGAAUAUCCAAACCUGUCAGCCCACCUGCACCCAGCCAGACAGCGACCAUUCUAGCUGCUUCCCCGGAGGCCUGCUGACCCAGAGAGGUGUCAAAAAGCUGAAGCACAACAGACAGACCUCCCACAGACUCAGCAGGGAGUUGGAGGACAGUCGGCACACCAGCAGCUGUAGCCCAUCACCUCCCCCCUCCCCAUUCACCUGGUAUGCAGCACUUAAGGGCUUGCUGAAGCCCCAGCAAAGCAGAGGCCCACCUGAGAGCUUGGAAACACACCUAUGCCCCAGACCACCGCAAUCGCAAUCUCCAGUCAGCCCUGGCCACCACAGUGAACUGCCUAAGUGCCCCAGAUGACUGAGUCACAAGCCAGGGCUGGGAAGCACUGCAUGAAAGGCGGCCUUCUCUAGACAAGGCUGGACACACCCCUGCAAGGCCUGUCUCCUAGGAGCUGGGAUGAAACUCUGGACGAUGUGCUGGGAACAAAGAAAACCCACAUGGUAAAGGCUCGCUUUUCCUUGGGAAUCUGCAAUGCUUACAGAACGGGAAAGGCUGAAAGCCGCCCACAGUGCCGCACCUGGGCCUGAGGGCUGGUGUACCCACCCUCUCCCGGAGGAAACAAGACCCGUGACCAGACUCAAAACCACCUCACACCCUCACAAUCCUUACAGAAUAUUCAAAGACUGGCACUUCAACCUUACAACCUGAGCACGUCUAAAUGCCUAACACAAUACCAAGCACACUGUAUGCCACGCUUUUAAAAGGUAGAGAUCUUAAAAAAACAAAAAACACUACCUCGGGUAUGAAGACAGAUUUUAUGAUGCCAGUCAUUUCCAGAGGGGCUGCCCGCUGUGGCACAGCACCACCUGGUGGCCACCCCAACCCAUGCACCUCCCCCCAUCCCAGUACCCUGACAGCAAGCCAAUGAAAGAGGUGUUAAUAUGGCUAUUUUCCAACUGAGGAAACAGGCAAAAGUGUAGUCAUUUCUCCAAGUCAGUCAAGUUAGCGAGUGGUAGAUGUGCUAUACCUUGUUGCACCCAUUUUGGGACCUGUUUGAAUGGCAUGCCCCACCAUCGCUCCCAC
rnacentral:lncRNA from 1 species